rnacentral:rRNA from 1 species
UACGUAGGGUGCGAGCGUUGUCCGGAAUUAUUCGGCGUAAAGAGCUUGUAGGCGGUCUGUCGCGUCUGCUGUGAAAAUCCGGGGCUCAACCCCGGACUUGCAGUGGGUACGGGCAGACUAGAGUGUGGUAGGGGAGACUGGAAUUCCUGGUGUAGCGGUGAAAUGCGCAGAUAUCAGGAGGAACACCGAUGGCGAAGGCAGGUCUCUGGGCCACUACUGACGCUGAGAAGCGAAAGCAUGGGGAGCGAACAGG